GGUCUUGUGGUCUAGUGGUAUGAUUCUCGCUUAGGGACAACCCUACAGCAUUCUGUUGCGAGAGGUCCCGGGUUCAAUCCCCGGCAAGACCC